UAGUAUCCAAAUAGCUCGAUUACUCAUGCUCCACAAAAGGACACGCGUCCUAAGUACUCUACAAUGUGCAUCUGAUGAGACUCACAAAAGAAGCCUUGUGCGCAGACACUCACAUUGAUCGUACGAGCAACGUCAAGAUUAAUUGUGAGAGGCACUAAAAAUAACAAGUCACAAAGCAAGAAAAUAAUUGCAUAAAGACAUCAAUAUAGGACAAGCACU
rnacentral:lncRNA from 1 species